UAAGAACGCUCUGUGUAAAGUGACGUCAUAAAUAGUUUAGUUUGCGGGGCGUUCGAUUCACGAUGGAAGCCGAGUCUCCGUGCUCGAUGACAUGUGAGUAAUUCAGGAUCAAUCGUGUCAAAUGUGUAAAUGAUGUUUUUCGACCUAUAAUGCGUCCAUCUUUCUUCCGCCGGACAAUUACGAAGCGAAAUCUUCAGUUGAUUGGAGACAUAAGGGUUAUGUGACGACAGUCAAAGAUCAAUCUGAUGAAACAUGUGCGUUCAACAAAGACAAGAUAAAAGCCACUUUUUAAAGCUACUAGAGGGUGAGUGAGGGCGAAGAGAACCUAGAAAAGGCCACAGCCUCUGUUGGUCCUGAUGCUGUAGCUGUUUUCAUCUGUGAAUCGUUUGAGUAUUAUAAGACAGGAGUCCUGAACGACCCAGACUGUCGAAACGGUGUUCUCAAUCACGUUGUUCUCGUGGUGGGCUAUGGUCACGAAACCUCUCUUGGAUUGGAUUACUGGCUCUUGAGGAACACGUGGGGUACAGACUGUGGCGACGAGGGCUUCAUACAGAUUGCAAGAAAUAAAGGCAACAGGUGUCGCUUUGCUUCUAAAGCAUUUGUCCCGAUUGUUGAUGUGAGUCCCAGCAAGAGUCCAAAGAAUCGGAGUGAGGGAGUGUUCGUGUUGUUGAUUGUAAUUGCAAUCUACUCAUUGGCGUAGAAAAUAUGCAUGUUUUGAACAUAAGGUUCUCAGAGUAAAUAUACAUACGGACUCUGCAGACUUCGAGAUAAUCCGGAUUAAUCCAAUCCGUUGAGAGUAACUUUGUGUGCUGUACAUACAUUACAUAUUAUACUUUGGACAACCCUAUUCUGACUUUCACCUAUCUUGACUUUCAGUUGUGAUUCAUUUUCUAUACACAUAUUUUGCAUGAUUUUGUUUAAUGUUAUAUUUCGUAUGACACCUUUUUUUUACUUGCAAACUUUUACACAGCUGAGUUAUGUUAAACCAAAUACUCAACAAGUUUAUUCUCUUUUUAAAACUAUGCAGACCGUUAUGGCGCUGUAUGAGGGUUGUUAAGUGCAACCAUAUAUAUGUGAAAAGGGUCAUAUAUGUAUGUUUAAUAUUAUGCAUGGUUUCACUUAGUAGCAUACAAGGUCGAACACGUCUGUUAAAUAUCAUACAACUUAGUAAACAUAUGUUUCUGAAACAUACGUAAACAGAGUUACAGUCGCAUUAAAUCAGCGCCAUACACGUCCAAUCAAGCAUCAUACAUGUCUGUUCAGUAACAUACAGAGUCGUACAGGAACGAAUCAGGUUCGGAUAUGUCUAAUCCAAAUAUAUACAUUUCUGUUCAAUACCAUACAGGGUCGUAAAUGUAUGAAUCAGAUAUGUACAGGUAUGUUCCACAAACAUGUCUGAUCAGUAUUAUGCAAUGUCGUACACUACUCAUCCAGAAUCAUACAUGUCCUUUCAGUAUCAUACAUGUUCUUUCAGUAUCAUACAUGUCCUUUCAGUAGCAUACAUGUCAUUUCAGUAUCAUACAUGUCCGUUCAGUAUCAUACAUGUCCUUUCAGUAUCAUGCAUGUCCUUUCAGUAUCAAACAUGUCCUUUCAGAAUCAUACAUGUCCUUUCAGUAUCAUACAUGUCCUUUCAGAAUCACACAUGUCAUUUCAGUAUCAAACAUAUCCUUAUAGUAAUUCUUACAUGUCCUUUCAGUAUCAUACAUGUCCUUUCAGAAUCAUACAUGUCAUUUCAAAGGCAUACAUGUUUUGUCAGUAAAAUGCAGGAUCGUAUAUGUAUGAAUCAGGGCUGUAUGAUUCAGCGUCGUAGCGGUAUGAAUCAGGGUUGUACAGGAGAAAAAAAUCGGGGUAAUACAUGUAUCAAUUAGGGCCCUAAGGGAAUGACAAAUGAUCGUGCAAGAACGAUUCAGGGUCAUAAUUGUAUACAUUAGGGUCGUACUAGUAUUAUUAAAGGCCACACAGGUAUGAUUGGGGGUCGUUCAGGUAUGAAUCAGGGCCGUUAAUGUAUGGUUCAUGGUCGCAGAUGUCUUCUGAAUAAAGGUCGAAUAUGCAUGAUAGAGGGUCGUAUUUUUACGAAUCAAAGUCGUACGUGUAUGACUCAUGGUUGGACAAGUAGGUUUAAGCAUAAAAAAUGUAUGUUUGGUAUGAGACAGGGUCGUAUAAAAA